UACGUAGGGGGCAAGCGUUGUCCGGAAUUAUUGGGCGUAAAGAGCGUGUAGGCGGCCAGAUAAGUCCGCUGUGAAAUCUCGAGGCUCAACUUCGAGCUGUCGGUGGAAACUAUCUGGCUAGAGUCCGGAAGAGGAGAAUGGAAUUCCUGGUGUAGCGGUGAAAUGCGCAGAUAUCAGGAAGAACACCCGUGGCGAAGGCGGUUCUCUGGGCCUUACCUGACGCUGAGGAGCGAAAGCGUGGGGAGCGAACAGG
rnacentral:rRNA from 1 species